GUGUCAGCAGCCGCGGUAAUCCCAGCAGUCCAAGUCGCAAUCACAAUUAUUGGGUCUAAAACAUCCGUAGCUUGCUUUGUAAGUCUCUUGUGAAAUCCGGCCUCUUAAGGGUCGAAGUGCGAGAGAUACUGCUUAGCUUGAGACCGGGAGAGGUAAGAAGUACAAACGGAGUAGCGGUAAAAUGUGUUGAUCCUGUUUGGACUAACAACAGCGAAGGCAUCUUACUAGAACGGAUCUGACAGUGAGGGAUGAAGGCUAGGGGCGCAAAAGGGAUUAGAAACCCCGGUAGUCC
rnacentral:rRNA from 1 species